CGAUUUAAUUAAGUAAUUGGGCUUAAUUUUAAUUAUUUUGAACUGCAUAUUUCUUUUAAUUAAGUUGGACUUGUCCUUAAAUUAUUUUACUAAUCAAAAUUUUCAUACGAAAUUAUAUCUUAUUAUUUAAAUUAUUAAAUCAAUAAUUUUAAUGGUCAUAUAUAAAAUUCUUAUAGUUUAAAUUAUUUUAAAGUUCAAACAGGCCCUUAUAUUUUUAUAUUUGAAUUUAUCUGACUAGGUGAGGCGCGACUAGGACAUAACUGUUGAUCUGAAAUUAUUCAAGUUAUCUAUCAAAUCCAUAUUUUCAGUUUCAGGUGAUUGAUAUCGGAGGCGCGUGGAGAGUCGAAUGGGCGCGUCGAAUCUAUUUAAAGAUAAAUGUUUCUUAAAACAUAUUAUGUUAUUUCAUGUGAUAUCUUUUGGUUAUGUAAACUCUGAAAUUCUAUACUAUUUGAGAUUUGUGUGUGAUUUAUUUAAAUAAAUGUUGUUAUAUUAUUUUAAUGUCAUGACUUGUUUAAUUUAUAUUUAAAUUCAUUUCAAAUAUUUAUUUAA